GAUUUCUGGAUGGCUGUGCUAGCCCGCUGGCUUUCGGGUCGGUGAGCGCCGGUACGAGUCAUUCAUCUUUGUAGGGAGCCUGGUCUGCCCUUUUUUGGGUGGGUCUGUGCGAACUACAUCAUUUACUUUGAAAAAAUUAGAGUGUUUAAAGCAGGCUUACGCUAUGAAUACAUUAGCAUGGAAUAAUAAUAUAGGACUUCGGUUCUAUUUUGUUGGUUUUCGGGACUGAAGUAAUGAUUGAUAGGGAUAGUUGGGGGUGCUAGUAUUGGCCGGUCAGAGGUGAAAUUCUUGGAUUCGGUCAAGACUAACUUAUGCGAAAGCAUU
rnacentral:rRNA from 1 species